rnacentral:piRNA from 1 species
GAGACAGUCCCUAAGAGUUACCCACUUCUU